UACAGGGUAGCCUAGUGGACAUGGCAUCUGCCCGGUAAGCGGAACACUGUGGGUUCGAUUCUCAUCCCUUUUAU
rnacentral:tRNA from 1 species